UUUCGCAAUGCCCGAAAGGGUGACGAAGCGACGCCGCGUGCGGGAAGAAGGCCUUCGGGUUGUAAACCGCUGUCGGGAGUUAAGAAAUGUAAGGAUGUUAAUAGCAUCUUUGCUUGACUAAGGCUCCGGAGGAAGCCACGGCUAACUCUGUGCCAGCAGCCGCGGUAAUACAGAGGCGGCAAGCGUUGUUCGGAAUUAUUGGGCGUAAAGAGCACGUAGGCGGCUAUGUAAGUCGGUUGUGAAAGCCUUCCGCUCAACGGGAGAACAGCAUCCGAUACUGCAUGGCUUGAGUGCGGGAGGGGAGAGUGGAACUUCUGGUGGAGCGGUGAAAUGCGCAGAUAUCAGAAGGAACGCCGGCGGCGAAAGCGGCUCUCUGGCCCAUAACUGACGCUGAGUGUGCGAAAGCUAGGGGAGCAAACGGGAUUAGAUACCCCGGUAGUCCUAGCCGUAAACGAUGGGCACUAAGUAGAGGGGUUUUAAUCUC
rnacentral:rRNA from 1 species